rnacentral:rRNA from 1 species
UCGAGGAUCUUUGGCAAUGAGCGCAAGCUUGACCAAGCGACGCCGCGUGUGCGAUGAAGGCCUUCGGGUUGUAAAGCACUGUCGAGGGGGACGAAGCCGCAAGGUUGACCGAUCCCUGGAGGAAGCACGGGCUAAGUUCGUGCCAGCAGCCGCGGUAAGACGAACCGUGCGAACGUUGUUCGGAAUCACUGGGCUUAAAGGGCGCGUAGGCGGCUUGCCAAGUCAGUGGUGAAAUCCCGCAGCUUAACUGCGGAAGUGCCUUUGAUACUGGCGAGCUCGAGGGAGGUAGGGGUAUGUGGAACUUCUGGUGGAGCGGUGAAAUGCGUUGAUAUCAGAAGGAACGCCGGUGGCGAAAGCGACGUACUGGACCUCUUCUGACGCUGAGGCGCGAAAGCUAGGGGAGCAAACGGGAUUAGAUACCCCCGUAGUCC